rnacentral:Y_RNA from 1 species
AGCUGGCCCGAUGGUAGUGAGUUAUCAGAACUUAUUAGUGUCACUAAAAUUGGUAUUCAACCCCCCACUGCUAAAUUUGACUGGCUAAAA